CUUUGCUACAGUACCUCCUGGAAAAACAAUGCCUUAACUGGUCCCUGGCUGCCUGCUCCUUCUCCUGGAACAAGCAGAGUUCAUUGGGUAUGAACCAGGAAUGUUGUGGGACAUUGGCUGUGAACCCCAACUUGAUACUCUUCACAGAGGCUUGAGAGUAAGCAUUCUAACACAUUCCCAGGGAGGAGGUAGAAGUUUGACUGGUACUAAGAAAGAAAAUAGCUGAGCCCUGGGAGAAAAAAUCACUGAGAAGAAAGAGCCAGUGUAAGAGCACCAGGAAGACAAAUGAG
rnacentral:lncRNA from 1 species